rnacentral:lncRNA from 1 species
CCUCAUUCUCUCUCACAGCCAAGCAAAGGGAAACAACAACAACACAACUCAAUCUCUCUUUAACUCAUUUUGUGACAACACAAAAACAUCAAAAGACAAUGAAAAUAAAACAAAAAUGUCCUCACUUACUCUCUUAAAAAUUCGAUGUUGUUUGUGUUAUGAAGUGGUGUUGGGGAUGAAAAAACGGAAGUGGAGAUUUGACGGUUGGUGAUGUGUGUGUAAUUGUGGAGGUGUUAUAUGGCGGAUUCCUGAAGGGUUAUGGGUGGUUGGUUGUUUGGACGAUGAUGGUGAUGGGUGAGAGAGGUUUCAGACGUUGGUCGAUGGUGGUUUAACGAGACGGUGAAGAAGAAGAAUUGACGAUGCUAUAAGCU